ACCUGGCUAGCUUAGUAGGUAGAGUAUGUGACUCUUAAUCUUGGGGUCGUGAAUUCAAGCGCCACGUUGGGUG
rnacentral:tRNA from 1 species